AUUGAACGCUGGCGGCAGGCCUAACACAUGCAAGUCGAACGAGUGGCGGACGUGUGAGUAAUGUCUGGGAAACUGCCCGAUGGAGGGGGAUACCUACUGGAAACGGUAGCUACUCCCGCAUACCAUCGGAUGUGUCCAGAUGGGAUUAGCUGGUAGGUGGGGUAACGGCUCACCUGGGCGACGCUCCCUAGCUGGUCUGAGAGGAUCACCGGCCAACAGGGAACUGAGACACGGCCCAGAUUCCUACGGGAGGCACAAGUGGGGAAUAUUGCACAAUGGGCGCAAGCCUGAUGCAGCCAGGCCGCGUGUAUGAAGAAGGCCUUCGGGUUGUAAAGUACUUUCAGCGGGGAGGCGUUACUCGCAGAAGAAGCACCGGCUAACUCCGUGCCAGCAGCCGCGGUAAUAC
rnacentral:rRNA from 1 species